UAGAGUUUGAUCAUGGCUCAGAUUGAACGCUGGCGGCAGGCUUAACACAUGCAAGUCGAGCGGAAACGAAGAGUAGCUUGCUACUUUGGCGUCGAGCGGCGGACGGGUGAGUAAUGCCUGGGAAUAUGCCCUGAUGUGGGGGAUAACUAUUGGAAACGAUAGCUAAUACCGCAUAAUCUCUUCGGAGCAAAGAGGGGGACCUUCGGGCCUCUCGCGUCAGGAUUAGCCCAGGUGGGAUUAGCUAGUUGGUGAGGUAACUGCUCACCAAGGCGACGAUCCCUAGCUGGUCUGAGAGGAUGAUCAGCCACACUGGAACUGAGACACGGUCCAGACUCCUACGGGAGGCAGCAGUGGGGAAUAUUGCACAAUGGGCGCAAGCCUGAUGCAGCCAUGCCGCGUGUAUGAAGAAGGCCUUCGGGUUGUAAAGUACUUUCAGUCGUGAGGAAGGCGUAUAAGUUAAUAGCUUAUAUGUUUGACGUUAGCGACAGAAGAAGCACCGGCUAACUCCGUGCCAGCAGCCGCGGUAAUACGGAGGGUGCGAGCGUUAAUCGGAAUUACUGGGCGUAAAGCGCAUGCAGGUGGUAAGUUAAGUCAGAUGUGAAAGCCCGGGGCUCAACCUCGGAACAGCAUUUGAAACUGGCUUACUAGAGUACUGUAGAGGGGA
rnacentral:rRNA from 1 species